CCUACGGGAGGCAGCAGUGAGGAAUAUUGGUCAAUGGGCGGGAGCCUGAACCAGCCAAGUCGCGUGAAGGAAGAAGGUACUGAGUAUUGUAAACUUCUGUUGUCGGGGAACAAAGGCGGAGACGCGUCGCCGGAUGAGUGUACCCGAAGAAAAAGCAUCGGCUAACUCCGUGCCAGCAGCCGCGGUAAUACGGAGGAUGCGAGCGUUAUCCGGAUUUAUUGGGUUUAAAGGGUGCGCAGGCGGGACUUCAAGUCAGCGGUAAAAUGUCGGGGCUCAACCCCGGCCGGCCGUUGAAACUGGGUUUCUAGAGUUGGAGAGACGUACGCGGACUUCGUGGUGUAGCGGU
rnacentral:rRNA from 1 species